rnacentral:rRNA from 1 species
UACGAAGGGGGCGAGCGUUGUUCGGAUUUACUGGGCGUAAAGGGCGCGCAGGCGGCGGACCAAGUCAGGCGUGAAAGCCCCGGGCUUAACCUGGGAGGUGCGUCUGGGACUGGUAUGCUAGAGUUCGGGAGAGGAGAGUGGAAGUUCCUGGUGUAGCGGUGAAAUGCGCAGAUAUCAGGAAGAACACCAAUGGCGAAGGCAGCUCUCUGGGACGGUACUGACGCUGAGACGCGAAAGCGUGGGGAGCGAACAGG